GAUGAACGCUGGCGGCGUGCCUAAUACAUGCAAGUCGAGCGAACAGAUAAGGAGCUUGCUCCUUUGACGUUAGCGGCGGACGGGUGAGUAACACGUGGGUAACCUACCUAUAAGACUGGGAUAACUUCGGGAAACCGGAGCUAAUACCGGAUAACAUUUGGAACCGCAUGGUUCUAAAGUGAAAGAUGGUUUUGCUAUCACUUAUAGAUGGACCCGCGCCGUAUUAGCUAGUUGGUAAGGUAACGGCUUACCAAGGCAACGAUACGUAGCCGACCUGAGAGGGUGAUCGGCCACACUGGAACUGAGACACGGUCCAGACUCCUACGGGAGGCAGCAGUAGGGAAUCUUCCGCAAUGGGCGAAAGCCUGACGGAGCAACGCCACGUGAGUGAUGAAGGGUUUCGGCUCGUAAAACUCUGUUAUUAGGGAAGAACAAAUGUGUAAGUAACUGUGCACGUCUUGACGGUACCUAAUCAGAAAGCCACGGCUAACUACGUG
rnacentral:rRNA from 1 species